CCGCGUCUCUCCCUCUACACCUCCCCGCAACUGAGGGAGCCGGCUCUGGCCUCGGCCAGCCCAGAAAGGGGUUCCCACAGUGCAGGGGCGGGCUGAAGGGCUCCUCAAGCGCGGCCAGGGUUGGCGCCAAGGCCGAGGAGGUGCGGAGAGCGAGUGAGGGCUGCUAGCAGGCUGUCACCUCUCAAUAGCAGUUUUGUAUAUGGGAUCUAGCCCCUCCCUAAGAGGUUGAUUCUAAGGAAGCCAACAGCCGUGUUGUGAGUACCCAAUGGAUAGUCUAUUGUGGCAGAAAACUGACGUCUCCAGCCAACAGCACUGAGGCCCUGAGACCUGCCAACAGUCAUGAUCUUCCGAUGCCUGGACACAGAAAGAGCAGUGGAAGGGGUCGUUUCAUAAGCAAAGACAAAGAGUGGGACACUGACUGUUACAUCUCAAGGAGAAGGAUUGCUGGAUCAAAAGUCUUGCAGUUAACCAGGCGUGGUGGCAGAUAGCUGUAAUCCCAGCUAUUCGGGAGUCUGAAGCAGGAGAAUCGCUUGUACCUGGGAGGCAGAGGUUGCAGUGAGCCAAGACCAUGCCAUUGACUCCUGCCUGGUGACAAGAAAGAAACUAUGUCUCAACAACAACAACACGCUUGGGCACUGUGUUAACUCCAUAAUCGGUUUAUUCAUAAUGCUGCAUCAUCCAACCAUCAUCCAACCUAUUUAUCAUUCACAAUGCCACCUGUGAAUACUGGCUUCCAUUGACUCAGGAAUUGCUACUGGGCCUCACUGAUGUUGACUACAAAUGCAAGUCAUACUGAGCGCCUCUGUGCUCUUUCCCCUGUGGAGAAUAACUACCAUUUCACCCAUUGUUUGCCUGGACCACACCUUGUUAUGACCAUAACCCUCAGUCAGACUCAACCUUCCUUCAAGAUCUGCAGAUCUAAAUUUUAUUGGGAACAGCCAGUUUGACAAACAUAGACUAGAUGUCCAGUUGUCCUUCAUUCAGCAGGAGCAGCAAGAUUCAAUCAUGUUUUUAUUAUAUUAUUUCCUCAAACUGGUGGCUGUAACCAUGAAGUUUCAGGUUGGU